UAACUUCAUGAUUGAUUGCCUA
rnacentral:siRNA from 1 species